CUCGGAUCAGGUAGGGAUACCCGCUGAACUUAAGCAUAUCAAUAAGCGGAGGAAAAGAAACCAACCGGGAUUGCCUCAGUAACGGCGAGUGAAGCGGCAAGAGCUCAAAUUUGAAAGCUGGCUCCUUCGGGGUCCGCAUUGUGAUUUGCAGAGGAUGCUUCGGGUGCGGCCCCUGUCUAAGUGCCCUGGAACGGGCCGUCAGAGAGGGUGAGAAUCCCGUCUGGGAUGGGGUGUCCGCGCCCGUGUGAA
rnacentral:rRNA from 1 species